GGCUUAAUUUUGAUUUUAGGUCGAUCUGCCCAAUGAUUAAUGGCUGCAGUAUAUUAACUGUACAAAGGUAGCAUAAUAAAUUGUUUUUUAAUUGAAAACUGGUAUGAAAGAAUUAAUGAAAUAUAUACUGUCUCGUGUGUAUAUAUUAUGAAUUUAGAAUUUUAGUAAAAAUACUGAGAUUUUUUUAUGGGACGAUAAGACCCUAUAGAAUUUUAUAUUUGGGAGGAUUAGUAAAUUUAAUAAACUUUAUUAUUUUUACUUUGAUUUAAGAAUGAUCAUGUAUUAAGAAUUAUAAGAAAAAAUUACCUUAGGGAUAACAGCGUAAUAUCUUUUUUAAGAUCUUAUUAAUAAAGAUGAUUGCGACCUCGAUGUUGAAUUAAGAUAAAUUUUAAAUGCAGAAGUUUAAUAAUUAAGUCUGUUCGACUUUUAAAAUCUUACAUGAUUUGAGUUCAAAUCGACUUGAGU
rnacentral:rRNA from 1 species